UAAGCGGCGCGAGCGCUCUGGAGGCGGGGAGAGAGACAGCUGAAAAGAAGGAGGUACCGCCAGGCAGUCUCUCGCGAGAGGGCGGAAGAGCCGUUUCGACGGGGGCGUGUGCCCGCUGAGGCCGAAAACCAGAACAUGCCCUGGAAAAUCCUAACUGUUUAUCUGUGAGGUGGUUUCUAUGAAGAUUAAUCAUCCCAGAAACUAUUAGAGGUCUACUCAACCUGUCCCAUUUAAAAGAUAGAAUCUGAAGAUUUAAUGAGAAAAAGCACUUGAAGAAUUCAAAAUUGUGGCUAAUCAGGUUUGGCAGUGGAUUUAGCAAAGUUUAGAUGACAGCAGAAUGGUAUCAAGAAACCUUGCCUGUAACUUAAAAGAGGUGGAGCACAAACUAGAACAGGAAGACUACUCCCAUCUGAAAGAUGCUAUACAUGACAACUGAAAUAUUCCUAGAAAUAAUGCAGAAGAGACUUCCCUGAACUUGUCACAACCUACCGUAAGCUAGACCACACUUUUCCGGCCUCUUACAAUCACAGCUUUCACUUCACCGCUCUUACAACAAUAGAUCAGAGUGCAAACAACGUUAUGAAAAACGAGGGCUUGAUAAAACCCACAGAAAAGCUAUUCACUAAUAUUGGGACUACUUUUAGUCAUGCUAUUAUAGUUCACGCUUUAUUCUUGUGCAUAAUAAAUAGAUACAGAAAAAUGUUGAAAA